rnacentral:rRNA from 1 species
UCAUAUGCUUGUCCCAAAGCUUAAGCCAUGCAAGUGUGAGAUCAAUAGUUAAAACUGCUAAAAUCUGCGAGAGGCUCCGUAUAUCUGUUAUAACCCACCACUAUCGAUAGCCGCGACGGAAUACCCUCGGUAAUUCUGCGGCUAAUACGACUAAUGAAACGAUAGUGGGUCUCCCCGCUCGGUGCCUUAUAAAAAACAGGGCAAAGGGGGGGGGUCGGCUGACCCUCGGUCUUGCGGCCUGAUCAACGCCCCACAUCCGGAGUCACCGGAGGGGACCGCGUGAAGGCCCGCAAGAGCACCUAGACCGGAAUAUCCCGGUUUAGGUGAAGGGAGUCAGACCUAUCAACUAGAGGGUUCGAGCGGGGCUCGCCCUGGUUAUAACGGGUACAGAGGAUCAGGGUUCGGUCCUGGAGAGGUAGCCUUAGAAAUCGCUACUACUUCUAAGGAAGGCAGCAGGCGCGCAACGUUCCCAAUGGGCACGCCCCUGAGGACGUGACGGGACAUAGCAAUACUGGACCCUAAUGGGUUCGGUAAUUGAAAUGGGGGGCCUUUAAAGCCCACCCCGAGUAACAAUUGGAG